UGUAUGUUCAUCCAAGUCAUUUUCGCUUUAUAAUCUACUCUUGCAAUUUUCACAAAUGUGGUCACUUGUGAAUACAUACCACAUUGUCACAUAGGAGCUUGAAGGCAAAUAUGGAGCUUGGCUGAGUUCCAAAGCGCAGGAGGAUUUCAAAUAUUAUGCAGAUGUAUGUUUUAGAUUGUUUGGGGACCGGGUC